rnacentral:tRNA from 1 species
AGCUGCUUAGCUCAGUAGUUAGAGCUUAGGGCUUGCGACCGAAAGGUCCGGGUUCGAUUCUCGCAAGAGACGG